GUAUAAUAAGAUCUCUUAUAAAUAACAACAACCUUGGAAACUUAAAAAAAAAAAAUAGGCAUCAAUGAGAAAAAUCUAUCCUUGACCAUGCCUCUUGCUACUGCUCCCUAACUCCAAAGCACACCCCAAGAAAUUAUUGGGGAUGAUACAUUAAAAUCAACAAGCCAACAGGUGCUAUGAAAAAGAAUCUGGAGUGUGAAGAGUAAGGUAUGAAUUUUAAUGAGCUCAUAAGCUUCCUUUAAACCUUCUUCCAGGAAGACACUUUUGUGCCGUCAUGUUCAGAACAGGCUCACAUCUGCGCUCUGCUUCAUAUGGGCUGUGUGACUUCAGGCAGAUUCUACGGACCUUGCUUUCUUCACUGCAGUAUCAACCACUGAUCAUCUGUGACCUUUAUGGCUGAUUGAAUCAAGGAACUCCAGGCCUCAAAAGACGGAAGACUGAACGGGACCAGAUGGACAUUUCAGAGAAGAUCUGCACCAGAAACAUUGAUUGUGAGGUAGCAGGGAAUGUCAUAAGGCCAAAAAUACAGAGAUGACAAAAUUACAGAAAUGGAGAACAGAUCAGUGGUUGCCAGGACUUAGAGAGGGAGGGAAGGAUGUGAGCAUAAAAGAGUAGUGCUAAGGAACUCCUUCGUGGUAACAGAGCAGCUCUGUGGCUGUUAGCUCUGGUGUUACACAGAUCUAUACGUGGGGUAAAAUCAUAGAACUAUGCACAUAACAUGUAAAAAACAAAGAGUGUAUUCAAAAUCUGGUGACAUCCAAGUAAUAUCUGUAGUCUAGUUCAUUGUACUGUUCUAAUGUCAAUUUCCUAGGCUUAAUAAUGUAUUACUGUUAUAUAAGACGUUAGUUACCACUGGAGGAAGCUGGGAGAUGGGUACGCAGUGUCUCCUGGUAAUAUUUUUGCAAUUUCUUGUGAGUCUGUAAUUCUUUCAAAAUAGAAAGUGUUUUAUCAAAAAGAAAGCUUGGCUGGAACCUAGAAGCUAGAGGUCUUAGUUCAUUAAUUCCUACUACUGCUGUGGCUUCAGCCGUUGACCUUGAUGGCUCUUACGUAAUCACUUGUUAACUUAACACUAUAGUUCAGAAUGUGAUACUUUAAUAAUCACAGCCAGUUUUAAAAAAUAGAUGUCAAGGGUAGAGAGAGCAAAAUGUUAAGCAUGUACGGUGGAACUUGUUAGAAUUUCGGUUCUUAAUCUGACUCUCAUAAUUUCUGAUCUGAUUCGAACCCUGUUAAAUAGCUAACACACUCCAAAGUGGCAUCCGGGUUUCAUCAGUUGUCAGCUGGUGGCUGCUGCAGUUUUCACAUUGAGAUUAUCUAAUUCUGUGCCAGCAUGAUUUUCACUUAAAAAAAUGAGUUUGUGAAAUGUAAUCAUUGAUUCUAAGAAGUGUUCCAGACUUAAUCAUUAGUGUCUUUUAAACUUCUCCCUGGUGCUUCUUUAGAGAUGUAAUUGAAUCUGAUGCUCUUCAGUAAAAUUUUCAGGAAAUAUUCAUCUAUUUCAUUUUCAAAAUUUAUUUUUUAAAUGGUGAUACUUAAAAUACAUCGGUAGCAGAAUAACCAAGCUAUGGAACAGGAUUAUGGAUGAUCCCAUUGAUGUAUGAAAUAUCUAUUUGUGGGUACAUGUGCAUUUAUUUUAAUAUAUGAAUAGGAAGAAUAGACAUCGCACUGUUAACGAUGGUAACCACUGGAAGAAUGAGAUUGCUGGAGACUCAUUCUCUAAGGAAUAAGUAUAUUUCCAGAAUAUUUAGUCUGGAAU
rnacentral:lncRNA from 1 species